CUAGCCUGCAUUUCCAUCCUCCUCCCUCAUUCUAAUCGAGUGCAUGCAGGCUUUUUCAGAUUCUAACUCUCUAACCUGAAGUUGGGGAUGGUUAUUUAACAACCUUGAAAAUGAACGUGCAUUAGUAAUAAGGGGCUCCAGGUGUGAGACAUGAACGCUCCGGAUGCGCCCAUGGGUCAUUGUCCACCAAGGACUGGGCAUUUUCCGAAAUAAUCUUUGCUGUUUGAUUGUCUAGAACCGCCACCGGAUUCUCAGGAGAUGCAAUUCUGCAAUGCCGUCUCAUGAAUGAUCGGCGCUUGGUGGUUAAACCAGCCAGAGGUUACUUACUGUACAGACGGUUUUUUUUUCGUGGGCAAUACUUUUACUCUUUUCAAAGAUCUCCACCUUGGAGCUUGUUAGUGUUGGCUGACCUAUGGCUUGUUCUGCAACCACGCGACGAGAAUGUCAUAUAGAUAUGUGAAGUAC
rnacentral:sRNA from 1 species